rnacentral:rRNA from 1 species
UACGGGGGGGGCAAGCGUUGUUCGGAAUUACUGGGCGUAAAGGGCUCGUAGGCGGCCAACUAAGUCAGACGUGAAAUCCCUCGGCUUAACCGGGGAACUGCGUCUGAUACUGGAUGGCUUGAGUUCGGGAGAGGGAUGCGGAAUUCCAGGUGUAGCGGUGAAAUGCGUAGAUAUCAGGAGGAACACCGGUGGCGAAGGCGGUUCUCUGGGCCUUACCUGACGCUGAGGAGCGAAAGCGUGGGGAGCAAACAGG